ACACAUGCAAGUCGAACGGAGCUGCUUUGAUGAAGUUUUCGGAUGGAUUUAAAACAGCUUAGUGGCGGACGGGUGGGUAACGCGUGGGUAACCUGCCUCACACUGGGGGAUAACAGUUAGAAAUAGCUGCUAAUACCGCAUAAGCGCACGGUUCCGCAUGGAACAGUGUGAAAAACUCCGGUGGUGUGAGAUGGACCCGCGUCUGAUUAGCCAGUUGGCGGGGUAACGGCCCACCAAAGCGACGAUCAGUAGCCGGCCUGAGAGGGUGAACGGCCACAUUGGGACUGAGACACGGCCCAAACUCCUACGGGAGGCAGCAGUGGGGAAUAUUGCACAAUGGGGGAAACCCUGAUGCAGCGACGCCGCGUGAGUGAAGAAGUAUUUCGGUAUGUAAAGCUCUAUCAGCAGGGAAGAAAGUGACGGUACCUGAAUAAGAAGCCCCGGCUAACUACGUGCCAGCAGCCGCGGUAAUACGUAGGGGGCAAGCGUUAUCCGGAUUUACUGGGUGUAAAGGGAGCGUAGACGGCAAGGCAAGUCUGAAGUGAAAGCCCGGUGCUUAACGCCGGGACUGCUUUGGAAACUGUUUAGCUGGAGUGCCGGAGAGGUAAGCGGAAUUCCUAGUGUAGCGGUGAAAUGCGUAGAUAUUAGGAAGAACACCAGUGGCGAAGGCGGCUUACUGGACGGUAACUGACGUUGAGGCUCGAAAGCGUGGGGAGCAAACAGGAUUAGAUACCCUGGUAGUCCACGCCGUAAACGAUGAUUGCUAGGUGUAGGUGGGUAUGGACCCAUCGGUGCCGCAGCUAACGCAAUAAGCAAUCCACCUGGGGAGUACGUUCGCAAGAAUGAAACUCAAAGG
rnacentral:rRNA from 1 species